AACACAUACAAUGAGGCUAUAAAAUUCAUCACCAUCCAAGGCACACUUACCCCUGCUACAUGAGUGGCAUUUCCGAUCUGGCCUCGAUCGAUACAUAUGGAUUAUUGGAAUGAUUUAUGCUUACUUCCAUCCUAAUGUUGAAAGAUGGAUGGAGAAGCUGGAAGAAUCUGAGACUAAGGUUAGAUUAUCAAUCAAGGGAACCAUUGUCACUCUUUCGUUGACGGAAAGUUUCCACAAUCUCUUA